ACUCAAAUGAAUUGACGGGGACCCGCACAAGCGGUGGAGCAUGUUGUUUAAUUCGAAGCAACGCGAAGAACCUUACCUACUCUUGACAUACCUCUUGGGACUUUCAGAGAUGAUUGUCUUCGGUUCGGCCGGGGAGGAUACAGGUGCUGCAUGGCUGUCGUCAGCUCGUGUCGUGAGAUGUUGGGUUAAGUCCCGCAACGAGCGCAACCCUUACCGUCUGUUGCCAUCAUUCAGUUGGGCACUCUGACGGGACUGCCGGUGAUAAGCCGGGGGAAGGUGGGGACGACGUCAAGUCAUCAUGGCCCUUACGAGUAGGGCUACAAACGUGCUACAAUGGCAACUACAGUGCGCAGCCACUUCGCAAGAAGGCGCUAAUCGCAAAAAGUUGUCUCAGUUCGGAUUGUCCUCUGCAACUCGAGGGCAUGAAGCUGGAAUCGCUAGUAAUCGCGCAUCAGCAUGUCGCGGUGAAUACGUUCCCGGGUCUUGUACACACCGCCCGU
rnacentral:rRNA from 1 species